GUUGUCCACAUGCAGCGACCGUGAGCCUGGGGUAGCCGUGGAAUAAAAUGCUAUAGCGGCUUCGUGUAGUUUCCACUGGAAGCGGGAGCAGCGAAGAAGGAGGUUCUGUGGUGCUGGCAGUCGGCAAAAGAGGCCGUAGCCACAAAUAUCUGGUGGUCGAAAACGAGAUUUACUACUCACCGGGACGAUUACAACAUUCUAUUAACCCAGGAAAGGCAGAUUAACGAGUAGGACUAACAUCAGACACGAAUUUAUCCCGGUUUAGGCACGGUUCAUGACUUGUAGUAAUCGAACAGAGAACAUUGUCCUGGUUGUGGUGCGGAAGUCACUGAGCAUCGCUCACCUGGGCAAGGAUCCGCAUUCUUCUCUGCACUCGCGUACCACGAUCCCUGUAUAGGAGACCUUUGAAUACCCAGACCGCUGUUAAGGCGGUGAGAUCGCAUGGAAAGCCUUCUGUGAAGACACCUCCCCGGCCUUAUUGUCAGGCCACUACCGAUAGACACGAACACUUUGUGUGGAAAAGGGACACGCAGUGGGGGAAGGGAGAAAUAGGAUCCAGCCAUGGAAAACGCACAUACAAAGACAGUGGAGGAAGUUUUGGCUCAUCUUAAUGUGAAUGAGAGCACAGGGCUGGGCCUGGAACAAGUCAAGAAGCUAAGGGAAAGAUGGGGCCCUAAUGAAUUACCAGCAGAAGAAGGGAAAACACUAUGGGAAUUGGUUAUCGAGCAAUUUGAGGAUUUAUUAGUGAGAAUCCUGCUUCUGGCAGCCUGUAUAUCAUUUGUCUUGGCAUGGUUUGAAGAAGGUGAAGAAACAAUCACAGCCUUUGUAGAACCUUUUGUAAUUUUACUUAUAUUGGUAGCAAAUGCCAUUGUGGGCGUGUGGCAGGAAAGAAAUGCUGAAAAUGCAAUUGAAGCUCUUAAGGAAUAUGAACCUGAAAUGGGCAAAGUUUACCGACAGGAUAGAAAAAGUGUCCAAAGAAUUAAAGCAAGGGACCUUGUACCUGGUGAUAUUGUUGAAGUGGCUGUUGGUGACAAAGUGCCCGCAGACAUACGUCUAGUUUCAAUCAAGUCUACAACUUUAAGAGUAGAUCAGUCUAUUCUCACAGGAGAGUCUGUGUCUGUUAUUAAGCAUACUGAUCCAGUACCUGAUCCUCGUGCUGUAAAUCAAGACAAAAAAAACAUGCUGUUUUCAGGUACAAACAUUUCUGCUGGUAAAGCUAUUGGAGUUGUAAUAGCAACAGGUGUAAAUACAGAAAUUGGAAAGAUCCGUGAUGAAAUGGUAGCUACUGAACAAGAGAGGACUCCACUUCAGCAGAAACUUGAUGAGUUUGGAGAGCAACUUUCCAAAGUGAUCUCAUUGAUUUGCGUUGCUGUUUGGAUCAUCAAUAUAGGCCAUUUCAAUGACCCGGUCCAUGGAGGCUCUUGGAUGCGUGGGGCUAUCUAUUAUUUCAAAAUUGCAGUCGCCCUUGCUGUUGCUGCUAUACCUGAGGGUCUUCCUGCUGUCAUCACCACCUGCCUGGCUCUUGGAACCAGGAGAAUGGCAAAGAAGAAUGCAAUUGUGAGGAGUUUGCCUUCUGUAGAAACUCUGGGAUGCACCUCUGUUAUCUGCUCUGAUAAGACUGGCACACUAACAACUAACCAGAUGUCUGUAUGCAGGAUGUUUGUUGUGGAUCGAGUGGAAGGAGAUAAUUGUUUUCUGAAUGAAUUUUCUGUUACUGGCUCGACAUAUGCUCCCAUGGGAGAAGUGUUAAAAGAUGACAAACUGGUAAAAUGCCACCAAUACGAUGGCCUGGUAGAACUUGCCACAAUCUGUGCACUGUGCAAUGACUCUUCUUUGGAUUUUAAUGAGGUUAAGGGAGUUUAUGAAAAAGUUGGAGAAGCUACAGAGACUGCCCUCACCUGUCUAGUGGAAAAGAUGAACGUGUUUGACACUGAUUUGAGAGGGCUCUCAAAAAUAGAGCGUGCGAAUGCCUGCAAUUCAGUCAUAAAGCAGCUGAUGAAGAAGGAAUUCACUUUAGAAUUCUCAAGAGAUAGGAAGUCUAUGUCUGUGUACUGUACACAAAACAAACCAAGUCGCAAUUCUGUGAGCAAAAUGUUUGUAAAGGGUGCACCAGAGGGAUUAAUAGAGAGAUGUACACACAUUCGUGUUGGGAGCUCAAAAGUGCCUUUAACUGCUGGAAUUAAGCAGAAGAUCUUGAGCGUGAUUAGGGAGUGGGGAAGUGGCCGUGACACACUGCGCUGCUUGGCCCUGGCAACACAUGAUAAUCCGCUAAGGAAAGAAGACAUGAAAUUGGAGGAAUCGUCUAACUUCAUUAAUUAUGAGACCAAUCUGACAUUUGUUGGAUGUGUUGGAAUGUUGGACCCUCCAAGAACGGAGGUUGCCGCUUCAGUGAAAAUGUGCAGACAGGCUGGUAUUCGAGUUAUCAUGAUUACAGGAGAUAACAAGGGAACUGCAGUUGCUAUUUGCCGUCGUGUUGGUAUCUUCCGUGAAGAUGAGGAUGUAUCUGAGAAGGCUUACACCGGCCGUGAAUUUGAUGAGCUGUCCCCAGCAGUGCAAAGGGAAGCUUGCAUGAAUGCACGUUGUUUUGCUCGUGUUGAGCCUUCACAUAAAUCAAAAAUUGUAGAGUUUCUACAAUCUUUUGAUGAAAUAACAGCCAUGACUGGUGAUGGUGUAAACGAUGCACCUGCCCUCAAAAAGGCUGAGAUCGGAAUAGCCAUGGGAUCUGGUACCGCAGUUGCUAAAACUGCUUCUGAAAUGGUGCUGGCCGAUGACAACUUUUCCACUAUUGUAGCAGCUGUAGAGGAAGGGCGUGCCAUUUACAACAACAUGAAGCAAUUUAUUAGAUACCUCAUUUCUUCCAACGUUGGAGAAGUUGUAUGUAUUUUCCUCACUGCUGCUCUUGGCUUCCCUGAAGCUUUAAUACCCGUCCAGCUUCUGUGGGUUAACUUGGUGACUGAUGGUCUUCCAGCCACUGCAUUGGGUUUCAAUCCCCCAGAUUUGGACAUUAUGAGCAAGCCACCACGCAAUCCAAAAGAACCACUAAUCAGCGGCUGGCUUUUCUUUCGUUAUCUAGCUAUUGGUUGUUAUGUUGGAGCUGCUACAGUUGGUGCAGCUGCCUGGUGGUUCAUUGCUGCUGACGGUGGUCCUAAAGUUUCCUAUUACCAGCUGAGUCAUUUCUUACAAUGUAAAGAAGACAAUCCAGAUUUUGAAGGUGUCCAGUGUGAAGUUUUUGAAUCCCCAUAUCCGAUGACCAUGGCACUCUCUGUCCUAGUCACCAUUGAAAUGUGUAAUGCUCUAAACAGCUUGUCGGAGAAUCAGUCCUUGCUGAGGAUGCCUCCAUGGGAGAACGUUUGGCUGCUGGGUUCUAUCUGCUUAUCCAUGUCUCUUCACUUCCUGAUACUUUACGUUGAACCGCUACCACUCAUCUUCCAGAUAACACCAUUGAACUUGAUACAGUGGCUGAUGGUGCUGAAAUUUUCAUUACCGGUUAUUCUUCUGGAUGAGACACUUAAAUUUUUUGCCCGUAACUACUUGGAAUCUGGUAAAGAGUGUGAAAAGCCUGCAGCCACACAGUGUACUUUUUCCGCAUGCACUGAAGGGAUUUCUUGGCCGUUUGUGUUCAUCACGUUACCCUUGGUUAUCUGGCUUUACAGCACGGAUACUAACCUUGCUGAAAUGUUUUGGUCUUGACUGACAGUUUAACAAAAUGGAAAUGUUUAACUUAACCAAUUCAUCUUUUUUUUUUUUUAUUAUAAAAUAAUUGUUUAUCGCAACUGUCUUUCUGCUGAAAUUUCACCUGAACAUAGCUCUGGUGAAGGCAAAUUUUUGUUUUUCACACUAGUUCUUUUGCUUCCCAUUGAAUCCAAAGUGGAUAAGAGGUUCAUAUGUUUGUUUUUUAUACACCUAGUGUCCAUUGACUUGUACAGAAAACUAACACUAUUUUAUGCAAACAACUUUUUUUUUUGUAGAUGAAAGCAUGUACAGUGUUCUGUUUCGUAAUAUUCAUCCUUGUAAAAAUAAAAAACAAAAGGAAGCAAAAAAGGAAAUACAAUUAAUCCAGUGGACAUUAUCUGCAGAAAAUUGACAGCAUACGUAGGGAUUGUGUGAUUAAUUUUCUAAAACUAAAGCAUGAAUCUGUCUUUGUGCAUGGUCACAGAUUUGAUUUGCUGUCAUUAUGCUGUCUGUUUAAUGGUCUAUUUUGGCCAUAAGCCAGUUUUUCUGCACUAAGCAGAGUACUGCUACCUCAGUCAGUAUUUUUGUGUUUUAGGAUCUAAUUUAGCUUUUUUUCUCCUUGUUUACACCAUUUUGUGUAAGAGGUAAGCCUAUACUUGCUGGUGCAGAAAAUUAUUUUUUUUUUCUGGUUCACAUCAUUUGAAUCCCUACCGUAGAUUUUAAGGUUAUUUAUUUAAAUGUCUAAUGUAUUUUAUUGUAACAGAUUUUUUUUUUUGGCCAGUGUUGCCCAUGUCAGGGGCUAUACUUCACAAUAGUCAAAAAUAAAUCUUUUAAUGGACAGAUAGAAAAAUUGUCUUGUUUUACAACUGCUUUAUCACCUAAGUUCCUUAUGCAUCUUUAUUUUGAAAGGUCUUUCUAUAUAAGAACAUUUUGUAAUAUGUGCGUGUGAUCAAAAACUUGCACUGCAAAAUGUAAAGGCUGCAUUAUUUCUUAUGCUUUAGUGCACAUCAUUCUUUUUAUUAUGCUGCAAGUUAGUCCACUGACCUGUACUAACCAGAGUUUAGGGGGUAACUUGACCUUAUUAACUGUGUGCGGUUUUGUAAAAUCUGUAAAUAGCACAUGACCAAAUGAACAUAUUGUAUAGAACAAUUUUUUUAUUUUUAAGUGACACUAACUAUCAUCAUUUUACUAUAACUGUAAGAGCAUGUUUCCAGGUUGCUUUUUCUCAGCCACCAAUGUGCAAGUCAUUAACCAUCCUAACUGGUGUUUUUCUCCAAUGCCUUCCAACCUUCAUCAACUAAAAACAACUGGAGUAAUUCCCUUAAACAAUUUUACAGAAAUGUAAGGUUUUGUUGCGUGCAUGUGUGUUUAGACACUGUUACCUGAAAAAAUAAUAAUUAAAAAGCCCUUUCUCUGCAUGUAUUCUUAAUGUGCUAUCUGGAGGGAGAGAAAAGUGCAAGGCCAGCGUAAUGAGUUUGGUGUUCAACAGAUGCGUUUGGAUUAUCCACUGCUUGGAGGAGAUGCACAAAUUAUCCUUAUAAGAUGCUAUCCUUUUGCUGCUGGAGGGAGAUCCUGGAUUAUAUCAAGUAACAGGUCCCUCUUGCAUCAAAUGGACUAAAGAAAUCUGAAGCAGCACAGCCAAGUUUCAAUGUUUUCUGUCAUGUAAAUUGUCAUCAGUUCAUGUACAAUAUCAUGUAGUGCAUGCUUUCAGUUGUAAGUAGCCAAAUGUCUGUAUUCUAUCAUCUGCUUUCUAAACAGCUAUGUAUAUUAUGCACUUCUAUUUAUAAAUUCAUUGAUAAAAAGCUACAGAUGUUGAAUGUUUAAAUGUAAACCUCCAGUUCGGUUUCUUAAGUUGAUAACGUUUUAACUUUUUUGUGCAAACGUCAUUUUUUUGCACUGUAAUAAUGUAACUUAUUAAAUAAUUCUAAAGCGGUUGACAGAUCUUGGUGCAAUACAAAUAUUGUGAUGCUUUUUAUUGAAGACAAUGUCAGUUAAUUCAAACGCAUGUAUGGCCUUUAGACAAUUGUAAAUAGAUUUGUUUAUUUCAAUGCUGACAUAAGCAUCAUACAGACGUCAUGGUUUCAGGUAAAUAAAAAAACAUGUUCUACAAUGGA